UACAAAAAAGCUUUGCAGGACUUCCUAAAGAGACGAAUAUCUGCACAUGACAAUAUUAACUGUCAGAUCUUAAAAAGCAUUUAGAUAUAAUCUAUUCAAAUUCUUCAGUCUAUAGAAGAGGAACUCAAGACAAAAAAUAAAUUAAAUUGCCCAAGGUUGCACAGCAAAAGUUGGCACAGCUGUAACUCUCACUUAGGCAUUUUUAUUUCAAAUCUAUUGUACUUUUGACACUAGCCUAUUUUUUUUUUCAACUUAACUGAUAAAAACAAAAACAGAGCACAUAAUUCUGAUUGUUUUUCCAUUGCUUAGGGAUUCCAGUAGCUGGUGGGUAUCAUAACUCGUACUGCAGAGAAAGCCUGAAAUCAUGUCUUGCCGCAAGACUGGAAUCUACUCUAACCCAAUGCAGAUGUUCAUCAGGAUACACCAGAGGCUACACUGGUGACCCAGGCAUCGGACAGCUCAGGGAAAGCAUAUGAAGUUGGCAAGAAAAAGAACAUCUGAAAUUAGAGGAAGAGAUUGUAGCACUAGCCAUGCAUGUGGAGCCCUGGCAACCAGCAACUAUCCCUCCAGGAGCCCUAUCUCCCUUUCAAAAUGAGAUUGCGCCUGAAGUUUUCAAGUUUAUAUUGUUGAAAACAGUACAUGUGGGGAGAGGAGCAUUUCGUGGACGUGGUUCAGGCUAUUGAGCAGAUUUACCACCAUUCAUAGAUUACAAGUUUCUGUGCUACUGUUUCCAAAUUCAGCUUCUAGAAGCUAUUUGGUACUCUUCACAUAUGUCCUCAGAUCAAGGAAGGGCCAUUGUUAGCAAAGUAUACAUAAAGGUUUCCCAGGUCUGCUGGUAUAGGACUUACGUGCUUCCCUCUGUUCUCUCCCCAUGAUUAAAACAAGUUUGAUUUGAUGCACAUAACAGCCAUGGAAUAAAUACCCUAAAGAAAGUGUGGAGGAAAGAGAAAUCCUGGGAAGUAACAUGUAAGUGGUUAUUAGUUGGGGGACAGAGUGUGGAUUGGAUAUAAUUUACUUAAAUAAAGAUUACUAUGCACAAAUACAGCAUUUUGGGACACAAAAAUCAUUACUUACCCUUGAAAUUAUUUGGUGUUCUUUUUAUGUGGUUCUCAGAUUUGGAAACCAAAGUUUAAAGUGAGUGGCUGACUAUCAAGGCAAGAAAAAAAAAUGACAGCUCUCCAUACAUAAUUCACUGAAAGUCUUUGCUUCCUAUUUUUUGUCAACAACCCAUAUUGCUUUCAUUGA